CCUACGGGAGGCAGCAGUGGGGAAUAUUGGACAAUGGGCGCAAGCCUGAUCCAGCCAUACCGCGUGUGUGAAGAAGGCCUUUUGGUUGUAAAGCACUUUAAGCGAGGAGGAGGCUCUUGAGGAUAAUACCCUUGAUGAGUGGACGUUACUCGCAGAAUAAGCACCGGCUAACUCUGUGCCAGCAGCCGCGGUAAUACAGAGGGUGCGAGCGUUAAUCGGAAUUACUGGGCGUAAAGCGCGCGUAGGCGGCUUGUUAAGUCGGAUGUGAAAUCCCCGGGCUCAACCUGGGCACUGCAUUCGAUACUGGCAAGCUAGAGUAUGGGAGAGGAAGGUAGAAUUCCAGGUGUAGCGGUGAAAUGCGUAGAGAUCUGGAGGAAUACCGAUGGCGAAGGCAGCCUUCUGGCCUAAUACUGACGCUGAGGUGCGAAAGCAUGGGGAGCAAACAGGAUUAGAUACCCUGGUAGUCCAUGCCGUAAACGNUGUCAACUAGCCGUUGGGACCUUGAGUNUUAGUGCGCGNGCACGCGAGUAGUAGUACGCCGNGGGAGGUACGGUCGCGAGAC
rnacentral:rRNA from 1 species